AUUGAACGCUGGCGGAAUGCUUUACACAUGCAAGUCGAACGAUGAACCUUAGCUUGCUAAGGGGAUUAGUGGCGAACGGGUGAGUAAUGUAUCGGAACGUAUCCAAUAAUGGGGGAUAACUAGUCGAAAGAUUAGCUAAUACCGCAUACGUCCUACGGGAGAAAGCUAGGGACCUUCGGGCCUGGCGUUAAUGGAGCGGCCGAUAUCUGAUUAGCUAGUUGGUGGGGUAAAGGCUCACCAAGGCGACGAUCAGUAGCUGGUCUGAGAGGACGACCAGCCACACUGGAACUGAGACACGGUCCAGACUCCUACGGAAGGCAGCAGUGGGGAAUUUUGGACAAUGGGCGAAAGCCUGAUCCAGCCAUUCCGCGUGAGUGAAGAAGGCCUUCGGGUUGUAAAGCUCUUUCGCAAGGGAAGAAAACUUAAGCUCUAACAUAGCUUGAGGUUGACGGUACCUUGAUAAGAAGCACCGGCUAACUACGUGCCAGCAGCCGCCGUAA
rnacentral:rRNA from 1 species